rnacentral:rRNA from 1 species
AAUACCGCAUACGUCCUACGGGAGAAAGCAGGGGACCUUCGGGCCUUGCGCUAUCAGAUGAGCCUAGGUCGGAUUAGCUAGUUGGUGAGGUAAUGGCUCACCAAGGCGACGAUCCGUUACUGGUCUGAGAGGAUGAUCAGUCACACUGGAACUGAGACACGGUCCAGACUCCUACGGGAGGCAGCAGUGGGGAAUAUUGGACAAUGGGCGAAAGCCUGAUCCAGCCAAGGCGCGUGUGUGAAGAAGGUCUUCGGA